rnacentral:rRNA from 1 species
GACGAACGCUGGCGGCGUGCUUAACACAUGCAAGUCGAACGGAAAGGCCCUGCUUGCAGGGUACUCGAGUGGCGAACGGGUGAGUAACACGUGGGUGAUCUGCCCUGCACUUCGGGAUAAGCCUGGGAAACUGGGUCUAAUACCGGAUAAGAGCCAUUUUUAGUGUGAUGGUUGGAAAGUUUUUUCGGUGUAGGAUGAGCUCGCGGCCUAUCAGCUUGUUGGUGGGGUAAUGGCCUGCCAAGGCGGCGACGGGUAGCCGGCCUGAGAGGGUGGACGGCCACAUUGGGACUGAGAUACGGCCCAGACUCCUACGGGAGGCAGCAGUGGGGAAUAUUGCACAAUGGGCGCAAGCCUGAUGCAGCGACGCCGCGUGGGGGAUGACGGCCUUCGGGUUGUAAACUCCGUUCGCUAGGGACGAAGCUUUUUGUGACGGUACCUAGAUAAGAAGCACCGGCUAACUACGUG